UACAAAUAGUUCAGUUGGUAGAGCAUGAGACCUCUUAACCUCAGGGUCGUGGAUUCGAGCCCCACUCUGGGCAAAA